rnacentral:rRNA from 1 species
GUGCCAGCACCCGCGGUAAUACGUAGGGGGCAAGCGUUGUCCGGAAUUAUUGGGCGUAAAGCGCGCGCAGGCGGUUCCUUAAGUCUGAUGUGAAAGGCCACAGCUCAACUGUGGAGGGCCAUUGGAAACUGGGGAACUUGGGGACAGAAGAGGAGAGCGGAACUCCACGUGUAGCGGUGAAAUGCGUAGAUAUGUGGAGGAACACCAGUGGCGAAGGCGGCUCUCUGGUCUGUAACUGACGCUGAGGCGCGAAAGCAUGGGUAGCGAACAGGAUUAGAAACCCCCGUAGUCC